rnacentral:lncRNA from 1 species
GGAAUAAAAAUGCUUGUAUUAAUAAUAAUAAGGAUCACACGUUACAGAUUUGAUGUUCACGAUCUUGCUCGAAACUGUCACUUCCUCGCAAAGAACGAUCCAAUACAACUGAUAAUGUGUUUUAUUACUAAAGAAAACUCGCUAUGAUAUUGUUCGAUAUUCUACUACUAUGAGGCUAGGGUUUUUUACACACGUGAAAUAAAUUGCAUUGACUAAGUCAACCGGGCCUCGGCCUCUGCGAAAAUCCAUCAGAACAGCUGUAAAAAUCGGCCCAGGAAGCUUCAGUGGGGCGCCACCGCGCUACUCUAGCGCGGGCGCGCUAGAUGUAGCAGACAAUAGCGCGGGCGCGCUACAGGUUAGCGCGGGCGCGCUAGUGUCUGCACUGGCAGCUCCGUUUCUUCGUUUCUCGCUCGUUCUCGCGUGCAUGUCCUUCCUCGCUUCUAGUACCACUUCCGUAGGUGAUCACGGUUGCAUUUAGCACAUGCAACAAGCCCUUUAAACCCCUAGAUAGCUCUAGUGGACGAGUGUGCUCUCGUGAGGGUUUGUAGAAGAUGUACCCACAAAAUCCCAAGUCUCGGUGAAUCCACAAUUCUCUAUUCUUGCAAAUAAUGCACCAAAACCAACCUAAAAUGAUAGAAAAUCACUUCAUCACCUCAACUCGUGACCUGCACAGAAAAA